GAGAGUUAAACAGUACGUGAAAUUGUUGAAAGGGAAACGAUUGAAGUCAGUCAUACUAACGGGAAAUCAACCUCUUGAGUUUGGUCUCGUGGGUUUUGAAGAGUUUAAAAGCCUUCGGAUUUUCGAGAUUGGAUUCUUCUGGUGUACUUUCUCGUACGGUUAGUCAACAUCGGUUUUGAAUGUCAUAAAAUGACUGGAGGAAUGUGGCUUCGAUCUCGUAUUGAAGUGUUAUAGCCUUUGGUAGAUGUGAUGUUCGAGACCGAGGAUUGCAACGGAUACCCUUCUGGGCUAUUCGUCUGAUCUCUGAAACGUUGCCUUGAUGUCGAAAGCUUGCUUAUGAUGUUAAGGGUAUUACGGUCAAAAGGUUAGAACGGAUUAAAUUCGUUAAGGAUGUUGACGUAAUGACUUUAAACGA
rnacentral:rRNA from 1 species